rnacentral:sRNA from 1 species
GUCGCUGCAAAAUCAGUGACCGGGUUUGGCGACCCGAGUAAAUCAAGGCGCAACAGCGCCCUAGACCUCAUUGCAGGCGCUUUUUUU